rnacentral:lncRNA from 1 species
AGCAUCCUGUCCAAAUGCUACUGGUGCCCCAUAGGUAUGGAAUUCAGAACUCUGAGGACAGUAGUGCUGCCUGGCUGGUACUUUUGCCUCAGGAACUUGGAGGAGGUGUCACAUGGAGAGUGUUAUUAUCUGUAGUUUGCCAUGUGGUAAAAGUGGCCUGCCUCUGGAGAGUGGAGACAGUGAUAGGACUGAAGUUGUCCAGUUCUGCUAGGAACUGGGUGAGCAAGCUACCAGGAGAAGACAGCUAUCUGCAAAACGGGAAGAGGGCCUUCACCAGAUACCAGAUCUGCCAGUUGCUGAGCUUGGACUUCCCAGUCUCCAGGGCUAUGAGAAACAAAUGUCUGGCAUUUUAGCCACCCAGUCUAUGGUAUUCUGUUAUAGCAGCCCAAAUUGACAAAGAUAACAUCUGUACAGUGACUGAUUUUGGACAGAGAUCUUUACCUUUCAGAUGAGAAAAACAUGUCUCCCCUCAAGUCAAUCACAGGCUCCUUCUGGGUGGAGAAUACGUUGGUGAUUUGUGGAGGAUGUCAUGUGAGCUUGUCAAAAGUGAGUCUCCUCCUGAUACAAGGACUAAACCGCAAUAUCACUUUUUGCCAGUAGAUGACGACACCAUCUAACAUGUG